rnacentral:tRNA from 1 species
GUUUCGUUAGUGUAGCGGUUAUCACGUUUGCCUCACACGCGAAACGUCCCCAGUUCGAAACUAGGUGGAAACC